rnacentral:rRNA from 1 species
CUAUACCUGCAAGUCGAGCGGACAGAAGGGAGCUUGCUCCGGAUGUAGCGGCGGACGGGUGAGUAACACGUGGGUAACUGCUGUAAGACUGGGAUAACUCCGGGAAACCGGAGCUAAUACCGGAUAGUUCCCUGAACCGCAUGGUUCAAGGAUGAAAGACGGUUUCGGCUGUCACUUACAGAUGGACCGCGGCGCAUAGCUAGUUGGUGGGGUAAUGGCUCACCAAGGCGACGAUGCGUAGCCGACCUGAGAGGGUGAUCGGCCACACUGGGACUGAGACACGGCCCAGACUCCUACGGGAGGCAGCAGUAGGGAAUCUUCCGCAAUGGACGAAAGUCUGACGGAGCAACGCCGCGUGAGUGAUGAAGGUUUUCGGAUCGUAAAGCUCUGUUGUUAGGGAAGAACAAGUGCGAGAGUAACUGCUCGCACCUUGACGGUACCUAACCAGAAAGCCACGGCUAACUACGUGCCAGCAGCCGCGGUAAUACGUAGGUGGCAAGCGUUGUCCGGAAUUAUUGGGCGUAAAGGGCUCGCAGGCGGUUUCUUAAGUCUGAUGUGAAAGCCCCCGGCUCAACCGGGGAGGGUCAUUGGAAACUGGGAAACUUGAGUGCAGAAGAGGAGAGUGGAAUUCCACGUGUAGCGGUGAAAUGCGUAGAGAUGUGGAGGAACACCAGUGGCGAAGGCGACUCUCUGGUCUGUAACUGACGCUGAGGAGCGAAAGCGUGGGGAGCGAACAGGAUUAGAUACCCUGGUAGUCCACGCCGUAAACGAUGAGUGCUAAGUGUUAGGGGGUUUCCGCCCCUUAGUGCUGCAGCUAACGCAUUAAGCACUCCGCCUGGGGAGUACGGUCGCAAGACUGAAACUCAAAGGAAUUGACGGGGGCCCGCACAAGCGGUGGAGCAUGUGGUUUAAUUCGAAGCAACGCGAAGAACCUUACCAGGUCUUGACAUCCUCUGACAACCCUAGAGAUAGGGCUUUCCCUUCGGGGACAGAGUGACAGGUG